AUGGGCCCUACUGGUUCAGGUAAAACUUUGCUUGCAAAGACAUUAGCUCGGUUUGUGAAUGUGCCAUUUGUAAUUGCUGAUGCAACAACAUUGACCCAGGCAGGGUAUGUAGGAGAAGAUGUAGAAUCUAUAUUGUACAAGUUACUUACGGUGGCAGAUUUUAAUGUGCAAGCAGCACAACAAGGGAUGGUGUACAUUGAUGAAGUUGAUAAGAUCACUAAGAAGGCUGAGAGCCUUAACAUCAGUAGAGAUGUAUCAGGCGAAGGUGUUCAGCAGGCUUUGUUGAAAAUGCUCGAAGGCACGAUAGUCAAUGUCCCUGAGAAAGGAGCAAGGAAGCAUCCUCGUGGCGAUAAUAUACAGAUAGAUACGAAGGAUAUUCUGUUUAUAUGUGGGGGUGCUUUUAUUGACUUGGAGAAAACUAUAUCAGAGAGGCGGCAGGAUUCUUCUAUUGGAUUUGGGGCACCUGUCCGUGCAAGCAUGAGGACUAGUGGUAUUUCAAGUGCUCAAGUGACAUCGUCCUUGUUAGAAUCAGUUGAGAGCAGUGAUCUUAUAGCAUAUGGACUCAUUCCGGAGUUCAUUGGACGUUUUCCUAUCCUUGUCAGCUUGGCAGCACUAAAUGAGGACCAACUUGUUCAGGUUCUCACCGAGCCAAAGAAUGCUCUAGGUAAACAAUUCAAGAAGUUGUUCAGCAUGAAUAAUGUUAAGCUUCACUUCACGGAUGCUGCACUAAGAAUAAUUGCCCAGAAGGCAAUGUGCAAAAAUACAGGUGCACGGGGCUUAAGGACUAUCCUUGAGAAUAUUCUCAUGGAUUCCAUGUAUGAGAUUCCAGAUACAAAAUCUGGAGAGAAGCGAAUUGACGCAGUGGUUGUAGAUGAAGGUGCAGUAGGAUUGGUGGACCGACCUGGCUGUGGAGCUAAGAUCCUUUACGGCGAUGGUGCAUUUGAUCGUUAUCUAUCCCAGAUAAAGGCAAUGGGAGACGGAGCAGGAAGCGAAGUGGAUGGGGAUCCUGACCUUUCUUCGUCAAGAGCCAUGAGCAUGUGA
rnacentral:rRNA from 1 species